GAUGAACGCUGGCGGCGUGCUUAACACAUGCAAGUCGAACGAUGCACUUUAUUUGAUUUCCUUCGGGACUGAUUAUUUUGUGACUGAGUGGCGGACGUGUGAGUAACGCGUGGGUAACCUGCCUUGUACAGGGGGAUAACAGUUUGAAACGGCUGCUAAUACCGCAUAAGCGCCCAGCAUCGCAUGAUGCAGUGUGAAAAACUCCGGUGGUAUAAGGUGGACCCGCGGUGGAUUAGCUAGUUGGUGAGGUAACGGCUCACCAAGACGACGAUCCGUAGCCGGGCGGAGAGGAGAAGCAGCCACACUGGGACGGAGACACGGCCCAGACUCGUACGGGAGGAAGAAGUGGGGAAUUGUGGACAAUGGGCGCAAGCCUGAUCCAGCCAUGCCGCGUGCAGGAUGAAGGCCUUCGGGUUGUAAACGGCUUUUGUACGGAACGAAAAGCCUUCGUUUAAUACAGGAGGGUCAUGACGGUACCGUAAGAAUAAGCACCGGCUAACUACGUG
rnacentral:rRNA from 1 species